AAGCUCGUAGUUGAAUUUCGGGGUUAGUAGGUUGGUCAUGCCUCUGGUAUGUACCGGUCUCACUGAUUCCUCCUUCCUGAUGAACCGUAAUGCCAUUAAUUUGGUGUUGCGGGGAAUUUGGACUGUUACUUUGAAAAAAUUAGAGUGUUUAAAGCAAGCUAACGCUUGAAUACAUUAGCAUGGAAUAAUGAAAUAGGACGUUCGAUCCUAUUUUGUUGGUUUCUAGGAUUGACGUAAUGAUUAAUAGGGAUAGUUGGG
rnacentral:rRNA from 1 species